rnacentral:rRNA from 1 species
AAUCAACGCUGGCGGCGUGCCUCAGACAUGCAAGUCGAACGAUUAAAGCUCUCUUCGGAGAGUGUAUAGAGUGGCGCACGGGUGAGUAACACGUAAGUAAUCUACCUUCGAGUGGGGAAUAACGUCCGGAAACGGACGCUAAUACCGCAUAAUGCAGCGGCAUCGCAAGAUGACAGUUGUUAAAGAUUUAUCGCUUGAAGAGGAGCUUGCGGCAGAUAGCUAGUUGGUAAGGUAAUGGCUUACCAAGGCUACGAUCUGUAACCGGUCUAAGAGGACGGUCGGUCACACUGACACUGAAUAACGGGUCAGACUCCUACGGGAGGCAGCAGUCGGGAAUUUUGGGCAAUGGGCGAAAGCCUGACCCAGCAACGCCGCGUGAAGGA